rnacentral:rRNA from 1 species
UAUGGCCAUACCGGACCGAACACCCCCAAUCUUGUCUGAUCUCAAAAGGUAAACCGUCCCAGGCCUGGCUAGUACUUGGAUGGGUGACCCCCUGGGAAACCCAGGUGCCGUAAAAA